rnacentral:rRNA from 1 species
UACGUAGGGUGCGAGCGUUAAUCGGAAUUACUGGGCGUAAAGCGUGCGCAGGCGGUGAUGUAAGACAGAUGUGAAAUCCCCGGGCUCAACCUGGGACCUGCAUUUGUGACUGCAUCGCUAGAGUACGGCAGAGGGGGAUGGAAUUCCGCGUGUAGCAGUGAAAUGCGUAGAGAUGUGGAGGAACACCGAUGGCGAAGGCAGCCCCCUGGGUCAAAACUGACGCUCAUGCACGAAAGCGUGGGGAGCAAACAGG